rnacentral:rRNA from 1 species
UACGUAGGGUGCAAGCGUUAAUCGGAAUUACUGGGCGUAAAGCGUGCGCAGGCGGUUUUGUAAGUCUGUCGUGAAAGCCCCGGGCUCAACCUGGGAAUUGCGAUGGAGACUGCAAGGCUAGAGUGUGUCAGAGGGGGGUAGAAUUCCACGUGUAGCAGUGAAAUGCGUAGAUAUGUGGAGGAACACCGAUGGCGAAGGCAGCCCCCUGGGAUAACACUGACGCUCAUGCACGAAAGGCGUGGGGA